UACGUAGGGGGCAAGCGUUGUCCGGAUUUAUUGGGCGUAAAGAGCUCGUAGGCGGUUUGGUAAGUCUGGUGUGAAAUCUCCACGCUCAACGUGGAGGGGCCACCCGAUACUGCCAUGACUGGAGUCCGGUAGAGGAGUGUGGAAUUCCCGGUGUAGCGGUGAAAUGCGCAGAUAUCAGGAGGAACACCGGUGGCGAAGGCGGAUCUCUGGGCCAUUACUGACGCUGAGGAGCGAAAGCGUGGGGAGCGAACAGG
rnacentral:rRNA from 1 species